rnacentral:rRNA from 1 species
GACGAACGCUGGCGGCGUGCUUAACACAUGCAAGUCGAGCGGUAAGGCCCUUUCGGGGGUACACGAGCGGCGAACGGGUGAGUAACACGUGGGUGACCUGCCCUCAGCUCUGGGAUAAGCCUGGGAAACCGGGUCUAAUACCGGAUAUGACUCCAUGACGCAUGUUGUGGGGGUGGAAAGCCUUGUGCGGCUGAGGAUGGGCCCGCGGCCUAUCAGCUUGUUGGUGGGGUGAUGGCCUACCAAGGCGACGACGGGUAGCCGGCCUGAGAGGGCGACCGGCCACACUGGGACUGAGACACGG